rnacentral:rRNA from 1 species
UGGGGAAUAUUGCGCAAUGGGCGAAAGCCUGACGCAGCGACGCCGCGUGGAGGAUGAAGGUCUUCGGAUUGUAAACUUCUGUUAAGUGGGAAAAAAGGUCCAUUUCUAAUACAAAUGGAAGAUGAUGGUACCACUAGAGAAAGCACCGGCUAAACUCGUGCCAGCAGCCGCGGUAAUACGAGUGGUGCAAGCGUUAUUCGGAAUCAUUGGGCGUAAAGGGCGCGUAGACGGCUUAUUAAGUCUGCUGUUAAAUCCCUCGGCUUAACCGAGGAUCUGCGGCGGAAACUAGUAUGCUAGAGGGUGGAAGAGAGAAGUGGAAUUCUCGGAGUAGCGGUAAAAUGCGUAGAUCUCGAGAGGAACACCAAUGGCGAAGGCAGCUUCUUGGUCCACAUCUGACGUUGAGGCGCGAAAGCGUGGGGAGCAAACAG